rnacentral:rRNA from 1 species
AGUGAACGCUGGCGGUAGGCCUAACACAUGCAAGUCGAACGGCAGCACAGUAAGAGCUUGCUCUUACGGGUGGCGAGUGGCGGACGGGUGAGGAAUACAUCGGAAUCUACUAUUUCGUGGGGGAUAACGUAGGGAAACUUACGCUAAUACCGCAUACGACCUACGGGUGAAAGCAGGGGAUCUUCGGACCUUGCGCGAUUGAAUGAGCCGAUGUCGGAUUAGCUAGUUGGCGGGGUAAAGGCCCACCAAGGCGACGAUCCGUAGCUGGUCUGAGAGGAUGACCAGCCAGGCUGGAAGACAGACACGGUCCAGCCUCGGACGGGAGGAAGCGGUGAUGUUGAGUAAUGAGCGGGAGCUUGCCGGAGCCAGCCAGACCGCGUGAGGAAGGUAGGCGGUCGGGAUGAAAAUGUCUUUUGUGAAGAAAGAAAAUCAGCGGGUUAAUACCCGGCUGUACUGACGGUACCCAAAGAAUAAGCACCGACUAAGUG